GGUGCGCAACGGCUUCCUGACGCGUAUCCCAUGACCUUAAUGGAGCA
rnacentral:ncRNA from 1 species